rnacentral:rRNA from 1 species
UCUUCGGCAAUGGGCGCAAGCCUGACCGAGCGACGCCGCGUGCGGGAUGAAGGCCUUCGGGUUGUAAACCGCUGUCGUAGAGGAGGAAAUGCAGGGGGGUUCUCCCUUCUGUUUGACCUAUUCUAGGAGGAAGUACGGGCUAAGUUCGUGCCAGCAGCCGCGGUAAGACGAACCGUACAAACGUUACUCGGAAUUACUGGGCUUAAAGGGUGCGUAGGCUGCGCGGAAAGUUGGGUGUGAAAGCCCUCGGCUCAACCGAGGAAUUGCACUCAAAACUACCGUGCUUGAGGGAGACAGAGGUAAGCGGAACUCAAGGUGGAGCGGUGAAAUGCGUUGAUAUCUUGAGGAACACCGGUGGCGAAGGCGGCUUACUGGGUCUUUUCUGACGCUGAGGCACGAAAGCUAAGGUAGCAAACGGGAUUAGAUACCCCGGUAGUCUUAGCUGUAAACGAUGAGCACUUGAUUGGAGGGUCCUCCAUAGCCUUCCAGUCGUAGCGAAAGUGUUAGGUGCUCCGCCUGGGGA